rnacentral:rRNA from 1 species
GAUGAACGCUGGCGGCGUGCCUAAUACAUGCAAGUCGAGCGAACAGACGAGGAGCUUGCUCCUCUGACGUUAGCAGCGGACGGGUGAGUAACACGUGGAUAACCUACCUAUAAGACUGGGAUAACUUCGGGAAACCGGAGCUAAUGCCGGAUAAUAUAUUGAACCGCAUGGUUCAAUAGUGAAAGACGGUUUUGCUGUCACUUAUAGAUGGAUCCGCGCCGCAUUAGCUAGUUGGUAAGGUAACGGCUUACCAAGGCAACGAUGCGUAGCCGACCUGAGAGGGUGAUCGGCCACACUGGAACUGAGACACGGUCCAGACUCCUACGGGAGGCAGCAGUAGGGAAUCUUCCGCAAUGGGCGAAAGCUUGACGGAGCAACGCCGCGUGAGUGAUGAAGGUCUUCGGAUCGUAAAACUCUGUUAUUAGGGAAGAACAAAUGUGUAAGUAACUAUGCACGUCUUGACGGUACCUAAUCAGAAAGCCACGGCUAACUACGUG